GUGGUUGUUGUUGGUGCAGGUGGGGUUGUAGUUGGAGCCGCUGUGGUUGUUGUUGGUGCAGGUGUGGUUGUAGUUGGUGCAGCCGUGGUGGUAGUUGGAUCCACUGUGGUUGUUGUUGGAGCAGGUGUGGUUGUUGUUGGUGCAUGUGUGGAUGUAGUUGUAGCCACAGUAGUUGUUGUCGAGGCCACUGUGGUUGUUGUUGGAGCAGCUGUGGUUGUUGUUGGUGCAGCUGUGGUUGUUGUCGGAGCAGCUGUGG